rnacentral:lncRNA from 1 species
AAUGGGAUUUGAGACCCUCACUUGGGCCCCAUCUCCCUUUCAGGCACUGGGGGGGGUGUGAAACCCCAGAAGCCAGGGUUUGGAAACGGGCUGGCAAUGGGGACCUUCCCAGGUGCUGUCGCCCAGCCAGGUUUUGGAGGGGGUGUGAGACCCCAGAAGCCAGGCCCUGUGGCUCAGAAUGGUGGCCAGGCACCAGGACUCGGCAAUGGGAAUGGGAUGGGACUCGGAGCCCAGCCAGGUCCUGCAACUCAAAAUGGCUACAGACCAGGCUUUGGAGGGGGUAUGAAGCCCCAGAAACCAGGGCUCGGGAACGGCAAUGGCUUGGGAGCCCAGCCAGGCCUAGUGACCCAGAAUGGAUAUGGAGCAGGCUUGGGGGGGGCCACGAAGCCCCAGAAACCAGGAUUUGGGAAUGGCGACGGGCUGGGAGGCCAGCCAGGUGAGACUGGUGGGGUCUGGGUGGUACAAGUCUGGGCAUCCUCUCCUGCUUCCCUGGCGGCCUGGCAGGAGGGCGGGUUAGCCUGGGAGCAGCUGGCCUCCAGGCUGGGCUCUGAAGGGGGACCACAGGCGGUUCCCCCACCUGAGCCAGCCCCAACCCCCUGCUCAUCCCUCCUCCCCGCACGGGCCCUCCAGCUCCCAGAGGCUGCAGAGCAGGUACUGAGGGGAGAAGAGAGAAGGGCCUGGCGGGGAGCACUGGUCCUCACCCAGGCCCUGUUGGGGGCGGGGUUUCCUGCCAGACUAGGUGGGGGCGGGGCUUCCUGACAGACUAGGUG